CUAAUACAUGCAAGUCGAACGCACUCUCGUUUAGAUUGAAGGAGCUUGCUCCUGAUUGAUAAACAUUUGAGUGAGUGGCGGACGGGUGAGUAACACGUGGGUAACCUGCCCUAAAGUGGGGGAUAACAUUUGGAAACAGAUGCUAAUACCGCAUAAAACCUAACACCGCAUGGUGUAGGGUUGAAAGAUGGUUUCGGCUAUCACUUUAGGAUGGACCCGCGGUGCAUUAGUUAGUUGGUGAGGUAAAGGCUCACCAAGACCGUGAUGCAUAGCCGACCUGAGAGGGUAAUCGGCCACACUGGGACUGAGACACGGCCCAGACUCCUACGGGAGGCAGCAGUAGGGAAUCUUCCACAAUGGACGAAAGUCUGAUGGAGCAACGCCGCGUGAGUGAAGAAGGUUUUCGGAUCGUAAAACUCUGUUGUUGGAGAAGAAUGUAUCUGAUAGUAACUGAUCAGGUAGUGACGGUAUCCAACCAGAAAGCCACGGCUAACUACGUGCCAGCAGCCGCGGUAAUACGUAGGUGGCAAGCGUUGUCCGGAUUUAUUGGGCGUAAAGCGAGCGCAGGCGGUUUCUUAAGUCUGAUGUGAAAGCCUUCGGCUCAACCGAAGAAGUGCAUCGGAAACUGGGAAACUUGAGUGCAGAAGAGGACAGUGGAACUCCAUGUGUAGCGGUGAAAUGCGUAGAUAUAUGGAAGAACACCAGUGGCGAAGGCGGCUGUCUGGUCUGUAACUGACGCUGAGGCUCGAAAGCAUG
rnacentral:rRNA from 1 species